CCUACGGGGGGCAGCAGUGGGGAAUAUUGCACAAUGGGGGAAACCCUGAUGCAGCGACGCCGCGUGAGCGAUGAAGUAUUUCGGUAUGUAAAGCUCUAUCAGCAGGGAAGAAAAUGACGGUACCUGACUAAGAAGCCCCGGCUAACUACGUGCCAGCAGCCGCGGUAAUACGUAGGGGGCAAGCGUUAUCCGGAUUGACUGGGUGUAAAGGGGGCGUAGACGGGGGUGCAAGCCAGUUGUGAAAGCCCGGGGCUCAACCCCGGGACUGCAUUUGAAACUGUGCGGCUAGAGUGUCGUAGAGGCAGGCGGAAUUCGUAGUGUAGCGGUGAAAUGCGUAGAUAGUAGGAGGAACACCAGUGGCGAAGGCAGCCUGCUGGACGAUGACUGACGUUGAGGCUCGAAAGCGUGGGGAGCAAACAGGAUUAGAUACCCCAGUAGUC
rnacentral:rRNA from 1 species